rnacentral:rRNA from 1 species
GAUGAACGCUGGCGGCGUGCCUAAUACAUGCAAGUCGAGCGAACAGACGAGGAGCUUGCUCCUCUGACGUUAGCGGCGGACGGGUGAGUAACACGUGGAUAACCUACCUAUAAGACUGGGAUAACUUCGGGAAACCGGAGCUAAUACCGGAUAAUAUAUUGAACCGCAUGGUUCAAUAGUGAAAGACGGUUUUGCUGUCACUUAUAGAUGGAUCCGCGCCGCAUUAGCUAGUUGGUAAGGUAACGGCUUACCAAGGCGACGAUGCGUAGCCGACCUGAGAGGGUGAUCGGCCACACUGGAACUGAGACACGGUCCAGACUCCUACGGGAGGCAGCAGUAGGGAAUCUUCCGCAAUGGGCGAAAGCCUGACGCAGCAACGCCGCGUGAGUGAUGAAGGUCUUCGGAUCGUAAAACUCUGUUAUUAGGGAAGAACAAAUGUGUAAGUAACUAUGCACGUCUUGACGGUACCUAAGCAGAAAGCCACGGCUAACUACGU